GCGUCGUUCGUUCAGUGGUAGGAUGCAAGCUUCCCAAGCUUGUUACCCGGGUUCGAUUCCCGGACGGCGCA
rnacentral:tRNA from 1 species